rnacentral:rRNA from 1 species
AACGAACGCUGGCGGCAUGCCUAACACAUGCAAGUCGAACGAAGGCUUCGGCCUUAGUGGCGCACGGGCGCGUAACGCGUGGGAAUCUGCCCUUUGGUUCGGAAUAACAGCUGGAAACGGCUGCUAAUACCGGAUGAUGACGAAAGUCCAAAGAUUUAUCGCCAGAGGAUGAGCCCGCGUUGGAUUAGGUAGUUGGUGGGGUAAAGGCCUACCAAGCCGACGAUCCAUAGCUGGCCUGAGAGGAUGAUCAGCCACACUGGGACUGAGACACGGCCCAGACUCCUACGGGAGGCAGCAGUGGGGAAUAUUGGACAAUGGGCGCAAGCCUGAUCCAGCAAUGCCGCGUGAGUGAUGAAGGCCCUAGGGUUGUAAAGCUCUUUUACCCGGGAAGAUAAUGACUGUACCGGGAGAAUAAGCCCCGGCUAACUCCGUG